CCGCCGCGGUAAUACGGAGGAUCCAAGCGUUAUCCGGAAUCAUUGGGUUUAAAGGGUCCGUAGGCGGCUUUGUAAGUCAGUGGUGAAAUCCGGCAGCUUAACUGUCGAACUGCCAUUGAUACUGCAGGGCUUGAAUUAUUGGGAAGUAACUAGAAUAUGUAGUGUAGCGGUGAAAUGCUUAGAUAUUACAUGGAAUACCGAUUGCGAAGGCAGGUUACUAUCAAUACAUUGACGCUGAUGGACGAAAGCGUGGGUAGCGAACAGG
rnacentral:rRNA from 1 species